UACGUAGGUGACAAGCGUUGUCCGGAUUUACUGGGCGUAAAGAGCGCGCAGGCGGUCGAUCAAGUCGAGUGUGAAAUCUCCCGGCUUAACUGGGAGGGUGCAGCGGAAACUAGAAUGCUAGAGGGUGGGAGAGGUAAGCGGAAUUCCUGGUGUAGCGGUGAAAUGCGUAGAUAUCAGGAGGAACACCGGUGGUGUAAACGGCUUUCUGGACCGUAACUGACGCUGAGGCACGAAAGCGUGGGUAGCAAACAGG
rnacentral:rRNA from 1 species